rnacentral:rRNA from 1 species
AUUGAACGCUGGCGGCAGGCCUAACACAUGCAAGUCGGACGGUAGCACAGAGAGCUUGCUCUUGGGUGACGAGUGGCGGACGGGUGAGUAAUGUCUGGGGAUCUGCUCGAUAGAGGGGGAUAACCACUGGAAACGGUGGCUAAUACCGCAUAACGUCGCAAGACCAAAGCGGGGGACCUUCGAGCCUCUCCCUAUCGGAUGAACCCGGAUGGGAUUAGCUGGCAGGCGGGGUAAUGGCCCACCUAGGCGACGAUCCCUAGCGGGUCUGAGCGGCUGUCGAGCCACAGUGGAACGGGUACACGGUGCAGACUACGACGGGAGGAAGCGUGGGGGAAUAUUGCAGAGUGGGCGCAGGCCUGAUGCAUGCAUGCCGCGUGUAUGAAGAAGGCCUUCGGGUUGUAAAGUACUUGCAGCGGGGAGGAAGGCGGUACGGUUAAUAAGCGUACCGAUUGACGUUACCCGCAGAAGAAGCACCGGCUACCUCCGUGCCAGCAGCCGCAGUAA